rnacentral:rRNA from 1 species
GAUGAACGCUAGCGGGAGGCUUAACACAUGCAAGUCGAGGGGCAUCACGAGGUAGCAAUACUUUGGUGGCGACCGGCGCACGGGUGAGUAACACGUAUGCAACCUGCCUCGUACAGGGGGAUAACCCGGAGAAAUUCGGAUUAAUACCCCAUAAGGAUAUUUAAAGGCAUCUUUAGAUAUUUAAACUACGGUGGUAUAGGAUGGGCAUGCGUAACAUUAGCUAGUUGGCAGGGUAACGGCCUACCAAGGCUACGAUGUUUAGGGGACCUGAGAGGGUGAACCCCCACACUGGUACUGAGACACGGACCAGACUCCUACGGGAGGCAG